GACGAACGCUGGCGGCGUGCUUAACACAUGCAAGUCGAACGGUGAAGGGGCCUGCUUUUGUGGGCCCUGGAUGAGUGGCGAACGGGUGAGUAACACGUGAGUAACCUGCCCCCUUCUUCUGGAUAACCGCAUGAAAGUGUGGCUAAUACGGGAUAUUCUGGGUCUGUCGCAUGAUGGGUCUGGGAAAGAUUGCGCCUUUGGGUGUUUUUGGUGGGGGAUGGGCUCGCGGCCUAUCAGCUUGUUGGUGGGGUGAUGGCCUACCAAGGCGGUGACGGGUAGCCGGCCUGAGAGGGUGGACGGUCACACUGGGGCUGAGACACGGCCCAGACUCCUACGGGAGGCAGCAGUGGGGAAUAUUGCACAAUGGGCGCAAGCCUGAUGCAGCGACGCCGCGUGAGGGAUGGAGGCCUUCGGGUUGUAAACCUCUUUCGCCAGUGAAGCAGGCCUGCUCCUUGUGGGUGGGUUGACGGUAGCUGGAUAAGAAGCGCCGGCUAACUACGUG
rnacentral:rRNA from 1 species